AUUGAACGCUGGCGGCAUGCCUUACACAUGCAAGUCGAACGGCAGCACGGGAGCAAUCCUGGUGGCGAGUGGCGAACGGGUGAGUAAUAUAUCGGAACGUGCCCAGUCGUGGGGAUAACGUAGCGAAAGCUACGCUAAUACCGCAUACGAUCUAUGGAUGAAAGCGGGGGAUCGCAAGACCUCGCGCGAUUGGAGCGGCCGAUAUCAGAUUAGGUAGUUGGUGAGGUAAAGGCUCACCAAGCCGACGAUCUGUAGCUGGUCUGAGAGGACGACCAGCCACACUGGAACUGAGACACGGUCCAGACUCCUACGGGAGGCAGCAGUGGGGAAUUUUUGGGACAAUGGGCGCAAGCCUGAUCCAGCAAUGCCGCGUGCAGGAUGAAGGCCUCGGUUGUAAC
rnacentral:rRNA from 1 species